AUUGAACGCUGGCGGAAUGCUUUACACAUGCAAGUCGAACGGCAGCACGGGGCAACCUGGUGGCGAGUGGCGAACGGGUGAGUAAUACAUCGGAACGUGCCCAAUCGUGGGGGAUAACGUAGCGAAAGUUACGCUAAUACCGCAUACGAUCUACGGAUGAAAGCGGGGGAUCGCAAGACCUCGCGCGAAUGGAGCGGCCGAUGUCAGAUUAGGUAGUUGGUGGGGUAAAGGCUCACCAAGCCAACGAUCUGUAGCUGGUCUGAGAGGACGACCAGCCACACUGGAACUGAGACACGGUCCAGACUCCUACGGGAGGCAGCAGUGGGGAAUUUCGGACAAUGGGCGCAAGCCUGAUCCAGCCAUUCCGCGUGCAGGAUGAAGGCCUUC
rnacentral:rRNA from 1 species